UCUUAGAUUUUUGAAGGCAUUCUUUGAAGUCAUACAUAAAAGAUUUCAUAUUUCAACUUAAUUACUUUAAAGGAGAUAAAUUUUAAUGACUUUUUUUACAUAUAUUUGUGUGUUCUGUAAUGUGUUAUCCUAUGAAUCUCAAUAAGCAACCAUUAAAAGAAAGAUAACUCAUACAAUCUUCACCGCCAUACAAGAGGAACUGUUUGCAGUUUGUAUGAAGUGACUUUUUACCCUAUGUAUACCUUGGUUUUACUGUACAUAUACUUUUUAGAAAUUACCUGUGUAUAUAAAACUGCCGUAAUGCUUGUUUAGAGUAUGUAUAUAUACAUUCUCACAUUUACAUUGUAUCUUUCCUGUAGAGUACUUUUACCCCUUUAGAUUGUAAUAAUUAAAAAUUCUACCAAAUAAAUAGCUAUCUUCCA
rnacentral:misc_RNA from 1 species